rnacentral:rRNA from 1 species
UGGGUACCUACCCCGAAGUGAGGGAUACCGGCGAGAAAUCGCCGACAAUACCGCAUAGGCUCUUUGUCGCGAGAGAGAGAGCAAAGUUUUCCGCGAGGGAGACGCUUUGGGAUGGGCCUGUGGCCGAUUAGCUAGCUGGUGGGGUAAUGGCUCACCAGGGCGACGAUCGAUAGCUGGUCUGAGAGGACGAUCAGCCACACUGGGAUUGAGAACGGCCCAG